rnacentral:rRNA from 1 species
AGCGGCGGACGGGUGAGUAACGCGUGGGUAACCUGCCCCAUACAGGGGGAUAACAGUUGGAAACGGCUGCUAAUACCGCAUAAGCGCACAGUACCGCAUGGUACGGUGUGAAAAACUCCGGUGGUAUGAGAUGGACCCGCGUCUGAUUAGCUAGUUGGUGGGGUAACGGCCUACCAAGGCGACGAUCAGUAGCCGACCUGAGAGGGUGACCGGCCACAUUGGGACUGAGACACGGCCCAA